rnacentral:lncRNA from 10 species
GUGCUGGGCACCGAGAACAAGGAGCUCCUGGUGCUUGACCCCGAGGCCUUCACCAUUUUAGCCAAGGCUGAAGUGCAGUGGUACAAUCUCAGCUUACUGCAACCUAUGCCACCUGGGCUCAAACAGUCCUCUCACCUCAUCUUCUCAUCUGUGGGACCACCACGCCCAGCUAAGUUUUGUACUUUUGGUAGAGACAAAGUUUUGCCAUGUUGGACAGGCUGGUCUUGAACUCCUGAGCUCAAGCGAUCCACCCGCCUCAGCCUCUCAAAGUGUUGGGAUUACAGGUGUGGGCCACCACACCCAGCUGCACGGUUGUUUAAGUACAUCCUUAGGAUGCAGUCCUAGAAGUGGCAUCGUUUAGUCAAAAGGCACAGACUAAAAGGCUUUUGCUAAAUGUUGCCCCAAGUUUCCCUCCUGAAAAACUGUAUGAGUUUAAACUGGGUGUAAGUGAGGAGAUUGGGACUUUAGACCAGGCACUCACUCAGAGGAGUUACUGACAGGGCAGGGAGGGACGGGGGCUCCAGAGAAAUUGGAGUGUUUGCGCUUCUUGUUUGCAGAUGAGCCUUCCCAGCGUCCCCGUCUUCCUAGAG